GUAAUUACGACGUCAUAUCGUGUGUAUUUAAAAGAGGAAAAAAAAAAAAAAACGAAAAAAUAUACGAAAUAAUUACCCGUUGUUGCGUUUUUCUCACGUUAUUAUAGUACGCUAGGACAUAGGUGUAUAGGUAUAUGUGUAUCCUCCGAUGAUACGCUGCACUCGUGCAGACGAAAACAAACACAAAGACCAGUAUAAUAAUAAUAAUAAUAUAAUAAUGAU